rnacentral:piRNA from 1 species
AUGGUGAUAGUGGAUACUCUGUGAAUAAUG